AUUAUACUCCCUCCGUCCCAAAAUUCUUGUCUUAGAUUUGCCUAAAUACGGAUGUAUCUAAUACUAAAACGUGACUUGAUACAUCCGUAUUUAGACAAAUCUAAGACAAGAAUUUUGGGACGGAGGGAGAAUUUU
rnacentral:pre_miRNA from 1 species